rnacentral:rRNA from 1 species
UACGUAGGGUGCAAGCGUUGUCCGGAAUUACUGGGCGUAAAGCGUGCGCAGGCGGUUCGUUGUGUCGGUGGUGAAAUCCCCGGGCUUAACCUGGGAAUGGCCAUGGAAACUGGCGAACUGGAGUGUGUCAGAGGGAGGUGGAAUUCCGCGUGUAGCAGUGAAAUGCGUAGAUAUGCGGAGGAACACCGAUGGCGAAGGCAGCCUCCUGGGAUAACACUGACGCUCAGGCACGAAAGCGUGGGGAGCAAACAGG